ACCUUUGUUUAGUGGCAGUCUUGUAGCCAGUGAGGUUCAUCAGAGGUGCGAUGACUGCCAAUUUAGAACUUUUCCCAUCAUCUCUCCAUGAAGACCUGAAAUACAGACAGCAUUGGCAAUUUUUGACAGUCUCUACAGAGA